rnacentral:rRNA from 1 species
GAGUGCCUUCGGGAAUUAGAAUACAGGUGCUGCAUGGCUGUCGUCAGCUCGUGUCGUGAGAUGUUGGGUUAAGUCCCGCAACGAGCGCAACCCUUGUCCUUAGUUACCAGCGGGUUAAGCCGGGAACUCUAAGGAUACUGCCAGUGACAAACUGGAGGAAGGCGGGGACGACGUCAAGUCAUCAUGGCCCUUACGACCAGGGCUACACACGUGCUACAAUGGUAGGUACAGAGGGCAGCUACACAGCGAUGUGAUGCGAAUCUCAAAAAGCCUAUCGUAGUCCAGAUUGGAGUCUGCAACUCGACUCCAUGAAGUAGGAAUCGCUAGUAAUCGCGGAUCAAAAUGCCGCGGUGAAUACGUUCCCGGGUCUUGUACACACCG